UUUAUCAAUGUAAGUCAAUUAGCUAAUUUAAGAUGACCUAAGUUCGUUUAAGAUAACUGUCAUUACGUUGUAUUCAUUUCGAAACUCAACAUCCAAUUGAACUAAAAUAAUAAUAAUAAUAAUAAUAAUAAUAAUAAUAAUAACACUAAUAAUAAUAAUACUAAUAAUAAUAAUAAUAAUAAUAAUAAUUAUUAUUGUUGUUGUUAUUAGAUAUUACAUUCAAAAAUGUUUAUCAAAAUUUGUAAAGAACACAAAAGGUAAAAUUGAUAGAUUUAAGUAUAAUCUAAUCUCAUCCAUAUAUUAAAUACUUAGAUGUGUAAAAUCCAACAAAAAAAAAACCACUUCAUCCAAACCAUUGAUCAAAUAAAAUCUAUGGCUGAAACCAAACUAACACACCUCACAUGGAUUACCAUUUGUAGCCGUCAGAUUCAACUCAAAUCCACGAUGUAAAACCAAUCCCCUUUCCCCAUAUUUAAACCAUAAACUCUAUCCUCACCUCAUUCAUUUUUCUGAACCGGUGAACCCUAAACCCGCCUCCCUUUCUCUCUGUUUUCUUACUCUUUUUUUUUUUUUUUUUUGAAGGAGAACUCUGUUUUCUUACUUAAUCUCUCUUUUUGCAUAUUGUUAUUCGAAUUUCUAAUAAUUCGUGAGGAAAAUAAUGGCAAUUUUAUGCUGUUAAAAUUUGCUUCAAAAUUAUGGGAAGGUCUUGUACGUAGAUGGAGAUGUGCCUCUAAAUUGCCAUGAAUUGGGAGUAAUUAUACCCAAUUGGAUCCCUCAAUUUUUAGGAAAUUACUUGCAAAGGAGAGAAAAUACAUUCUAAAUUUUAUCAUCUUUCCUAAAGUAAACUUGAGAAAUAAGCGGUAGAAAUCUUGAACAUAGACCUUGCUGGAUGAUUAUUGUGCGUGAGAGAUGAAAGUAGGAAACCUUCUUGUUUUGUUUCGCAAGUUGCUGCUAGUCGGAUUAGGAUAGAUUAGUUUCCUUUGCUUGUAAAUGUUGUGCUGGGUUAUUUGAUUACUCAUGUGACGCAUCAGCCCAUAUCAUGGCUUUGUUUCAA